AUGGAGAGGAUGGCACAGUCAUACUUCAAGGAAAUAUAUACCAAAGACCCUACUCUUGAUCCAUCUGUCGUCUUGGAAAGUAUCCAACAGAGAGUUACAACUGAAAUGAAUGAUGCUCUCUAUUUGCCUCUUUCUAACAAAGAGAUUUCCGAUGCGCUCUUCCAGAUAGGGCCUUUAAAGGCUCCAGGGGUGGAUGGAUUCCCGACGCGUUUCUAUCAGCGCAACUGGGCUGUUCUUAAGGCCGAUAUUAUUACGGCAGUUCAAGAGUUCUUUGUCACCGGUAUAAUGCCAGAUGGUGUAAAUGAUACGGCGGUGGUAUUAAUACCAAAAAUUCCACAUCCUCGUGAACUAAAGGAUUUCCAUCCUAUUAGUCUUUGCAAUGUGGUAUAUAAAAUCGUGUCUAAAUGCAUGGUGAACAGGUUGCGGCCUUUCUUAGCAGGGCUUAUCUCGGAAAAUCAAAGUGCGUUCAUUCCUGGCAGGCUUAUUACGGAUAACUCGAUUAUUGCUUUCGAAUGUAUCCAUCAUAUACAAUCUGUUAAGAAAAAUCCAUCGGCUCUGUGUGCUUACAAGCUUGACCUUUCGAAGGCAUAUGACCGAGUAGAUUGGGUCUUUCUUGAGAGGGCCCUUCUCAAAUGGGGCUUCUCCCAGUUCUGGGUCUCUCGCGUUAUGGCGUGUGUAUCUUCUGUUAAUUAUUCAGUGAAGUUCAAUGGCAAGCUACUGGAAUCUUUUACCCCAUCCCGGGGUCUCCGGCAAGGUGAUCCGUUAUCCCCCUUUCUAUUCCUAUUUGUUGCGGAUGCUCUAUCAAGGUUGAUCAAUAAAUCUAUGGCAGAGGAUGGGUUGAAAGGGGUGAAAAUUUGUAGAGGUGCUCCGAAAAUAUCCCACCUUUUAUUCGCGGAUGAUUCGCUCUUGUUUUUUCAAGCUUCUAAACAACAGGUAAAUUUGGUUAAAGGUUCGUUGAACACUUAUGCGGUGGCUACUGGGCAACUAAUAAAUCCAUCAAAGUGCUCCAUCCUUUUUUCAGAUCACUGCACGCCCACAAUUGCUAAUAAUGUGAAGAGUGUGCUGGAGAUUACACAGGAGGUAUUCGAGCCUAAGUAUCUAGGUCUCCCUGUGCCGGAGGGAAGAAUGCAUAAGGGCAAGUUUGAAACUAUCCAGGAGAGAUUAAGGAAGAGAUUAAUUGACUGGAGUGAGCAAUAUAUGUCAUCAGGUAACAAGGAGAUUUUAAUUAAAUCAGUUGCUCAGGCUAUUCCAGCUUAUGUCAUGAGUGUUUUCAAGCUCCCGGCAUCGAUUUGCGGUGAGUUAACCCGCAUGAUGCGACAGUACUGGUGGGGAGUUGAAACGGGGAAGCGUAAAAUGGCAUGGCUGAGCUGGGACAAAAUGCGCUUACCCAAAUCUAUGGGAGGCAUGGGCUUCAGAGAUAUGCGGGCUUUUAACCAAGCCCUACUUGCAAACAAGCAUGGCGCCUUCCGGGUACGCCAGACAGUUUAUGUGCUAGGCUUCUAA
rnacentral:rRNA from 1 species